rnacentral:rRNA from 1 species
GAUGAACGCUGGCGGCGUGCCUAAUACAUGCAAGUCGAACGGACGGACGAGAAGCUUGCUGGGCGCACGUUAGCGGCGGGCGGGUGUGUAACGCGUGGAUAACCUACUUGUAAUAGGGGGAUAACUUCGGAAAAGGGGAGAUAAUACGAGAUGAUAUUUUGAACCGCAGGGUGCAAAGGUGAAUUACGGUGUUUGGGGAUCUAAUAGAUGGAUCCGGGCUGCAUUGGGUGGUUGGUAAGGUAAUGGCUUACCACGGCAACGAGGCAUAAACGAGUGCCGGGGGUGAUCGCCGACCUGGGAACUUAGCCAGCGUCCAGAGUCCUACGAGAGGCAGCAGUAGGGAAUCGGAGGCAAUGGGCGAAAGCCUUACGCAGCAACGCCGCGUGAGUGACGAAGGCCUUGGGAUCGUAAAACCCUGUUAUUAGUGAAGAACAUAUGUGUAAGUAACUGUGCCCAUCGUGACGGUACCGAAUAAGAAAGCAACGGCUAACUACGUG